rnacentral:pre_miRNA from 11 species
CAUCCAGCCUUGGGGCCUGAACCUGGCAUACAAUGUAGAAUUCUGUUUGUUAAGCAACAGCUACAUUGUCUGCUGGGUUUCAGGCUGUCUGGAAAUA